ensembl:lncRNA
CAUAUACAUCAAGUAUUGUUUGGACUUAUUGAUUCUUUAUUUGGUCUCUUUAUUUUGCAAUUUAAAAUCCAAAAAUCUUUUUGGAGUCACAAAAAUAGGACUUUUACCUUGGAAAAUUCUAAAUUUCUACAGUAAAGUUAAAUUUUUGUACAAGAGUGGUCAGAGAUGUCCUUAACACAUGUAUAUUAGUCUUUGUUUGGAAUUAUUGAGAAAUGUAUUUUUAUUGCAGUUCAAACGUUGAGAAAAAAUCAGUUUGAACAGCAAGCAAUUAUAGGGCUAUAACUUUGUGACUUUGUACAGUAAAAAUAUUUAUAUUGGGCUUUUACUUUGGAAAAAUCUCUAAAUUUGUACAGUUAAAAAUAUUUUAUUUUGUGAAAAAGAAUAGUCAGAGAGGUCAGGAGACACCUACUUCUAUCAUUGUCCGAAAUUUGAUAUUUAAAUAGCCUUUAUUUGGGUUACAUGUUUAAUACCGUAAAUGUCAGCAUAUACGUGUGCUAAUAUUCAUGUGUCUGGUGACCACGCAAAUCCGAGCGUCUGCUGAGUCGACCGCAGUCCUCAAACUCUAUCAUUUCUGGUCCAUUUGCAUGAAAGGCAUCAUUCUGGCUAGAUGCGACUGAGAGGGGGAAUGGCUUAUCACCGGAAUGUUUUAUACAGCUCGAGACGGUAUGGAGCAGGAGGAAAUCCCCUAUCGGAGGGACACCUGCUAUGACUACUUGUCCGCUUUCCUGACCUCAAUCUACGCUCACUGGCCGGGCGCAUACGCCAAAACAUGGGGCCUUGAGGCCACGGCUCACUCCUGCACCAUCCCCGCCACGCCCGAGGGUGUUGUCUCGGUAGGUGUACACUACAAAAAUUCCCCAUACAACUGCGUUGACCUCCGAUCCGAAACAGGGCGGCUGUUACGAGGCCAGCUGGACGCAGUCGUGAUGACCUGGUCCCAAGGGUGCUAGAGGUCUACAAAGCUUCAGACACUAAAUACAUUUUGAACUGCCUCGAGAAAGCUGUAUGGAGUUGCUCAUCAUCUCUAAAUGGAUGAAGUCCAUUUUCAUGGUUUACAUGGUUUUUCUGUCUGAACUUUUUGUGGAUAUUCUGUUAACUACACUGAAUAUGUUGUUUAAAUAAUGUACAGAAGUUGUUAGAUAUCUGCAUGUUAUAAUGUAAAAUAUUUAUUUUCAUGUGAGAAAUAAAUAUAAUUUUUGCAACAAGACAUAGUGUUUCUCAUAACUAUAAAUUAUCAUUUGAAACAAUGCAUACUUUUAAGUAAAGUGAACUAGGAAAGUA